CAGCCGCCACGGUAAUACGUAGGUGGCAAGCGUUGUCCGGAAUUAUUGGGCGUAAAGGGCUCGCAGGCGGUUUCUUAAGUCUGAUGUGAAAGCCCCCGGCUCAACCGGGGAGGGUCAUUGGAAACUGGGAAACUUGAGUGCAGAAGAGGAGAGUGGAAUUCCACGUGUAGCGGUGAAAUGCGUAGAGAUGUGGAGGAACACCAGUGGCGAAGGCGACUCUCUGGUCUGUGACUGACGCUGAGGAGCGAAAGCGUGGGGAGCGAACAGGAUUAGAUACCCCGGUAGUCCCUGUCUCUUAUAC
rnacentral:rRNA from 1 species